rnacentral:rRNA from 1 species
ACGCUCGACACCUACGGGAAGCAGCAGUGGGGAAUAUUGGGCAAUGGGCGAAAGCCUGACCCAGCAACGCCGCGUGAGGGAAGAAGGUUUUCGGAUUGUAAACCUCUGUCCUCAGGGACGAAGGACGUGACGGUACCUGAGGAGGAAGCCCCGGCUAACUACGUGUCAGCAGCCGCGGUAAUCUGAGCGGGCUGGCAAGGC